CCUACGGGAGGCAGCAGUGGGGAAUAUUGCACAAUGGGGGGAACCCUGAUGCAGCGACGCCGCGUGGGUGAAGGAGUAUUUCGGUAUGUAAAGCCCUAUCAGCAGGGAAGAACAAUGACGGUACCUGACUAAGAAUCUCCGGCUAAAUACGUGCCAGCAGCCGCGGUAAUACGUAUGGUGCAAGCGUUAUCCGGAUUUACUGGGUGUAAAGGGGGCGCAGACGGCGUUGCAAGCCAGGAGUGAAAGCCCCGGGCCCAACCCCGGGACUGCUCUUGGAACUGGGUGGCUAGAGUGCAGGAGAGGAAGGCGGAAUUCCUGGUGUAGCGGUGAAAUGCGUAGAUAUCAGGAGGAACACCGGUGGCGAAGGCGGCCUGCUGGACUGCAACUGACGUUGAGGCCCGAAAGCGUGGGGAGCAAACAGGAUUAGAUACCCGGGUAGUC
rnacentral:rRNA from 1 species